rfam:Picea glauca, whole genome shotgun sequence.
ACAUGCCUAUAGCAUAGCAUUAAUGCACCGGAUCCCAUUAGAACUUUGCAGUUAAGUGCACUUAGGCUAGAGAAGUACUGGGAUGGGUGACUGCCUGGGAAGUCCUAGUGUUUUACAUGCC